UACGUUUCUGACGAUGUUGCCGCUGUAAAUACCUUGGAGAUUGCCUAUUUUUUAGGAUUUCGCAUUUUGCCCGAAGAUUUGUCGGUUUGUUACAAGAAAUAGCAAGAUGAUCAUUGCCACAUUUGACGCAUCGCGGAGAAUGGGGACAGAAACGAGCCGUGUGAUUGAAUCUUUGGCAACGAAUGCACUGAGGUAAUUUCUUAUCAUUUUUAGGCCAUUCAAGUCGGACAACGUAUUUACAGAGAGGGCGGACUCCGAAUAAUUAAAACCAUACUAGAAAGCUCAUCUUUAAUAAGGUCUGUGCUUGUGAAGGAUAGGAUGCCACACUUCACUACUUUGAAAGACCUUUCACUCUGCAUCUGCAAUAGUUUCUGGAAUGAUUUUGACCAUUCCAGAACCACAAAGUUUCAAUUUGAAUUCAGUGAUUGGAGGGUUAUUUACCACGAGCUCGGCAAGAAUGGGAUCAAGAGUUGUACUCGAUAAGUUGUCAGGGCUUUGAGCAAUAUAACUAUUCUGCAUAAUAAUAUGCGGAGGUUUGGGAAGUAUUGUGUUAUUACAAAACAUCAAAUGCUAUUGUCAACAGCUGUGAAGGCGACAACAGCAGAAGUAGCUUCUGGAGCAGAAUAUAAUAUGCGCAUAUUGCGCGUUGCGUUGUGGCGUGUAAGCCUUUUGCGAGUUUUAGGCAAGAAUUUAAAAUUGCACUGCUUGCGCAGACGAAAUUGGUUUUCAUGGCUUAGAUUUUCAAAAUUUCAGCUAUUAGCACUUGAAAUUUUUCCAUCAUCUGUCUUGGAUUCUCCAUUUCCAAUAAUUAACUGCGAAAAAUCACUCAUGAAAAGAGUACUUAGAACAGAUGUGGAUGGCGAAAGUGCCGACAGGGGCGGAGAGGAAUGGGACAUUUUAUUAACAAAAUAGGAAAGCUAAUUUAAAACUUUGAAAAGCCUUAAUUCCUGGUUUUUGCUACUCGAUUGCCUUGCUUCUCAGGAUUUAAAUAUUUUGUUCAUAAAAUAAUAAUAUUACCGAUUUUAGAAGAAUUUUAGCAGUUUCACUACGUUUGAAUUGGAGAAAAGAAUUUAUUUUUUCAGAUUUUUGACGCGUUUUAGUCACCAUAAUCAUUACAUAAGAAGCGGACUCCGAAUAUGGUGUUGCUCUUUUCUGACAGAGCCAUGCCAAUUUUGUAACUUGGGGCUAUAUAAUCUUCUGACCUCAUCCCAUCCGAGUCAGUUCCUCUUUGAUAUGGUCAGUUCAGUUCACUUCUCAUCGUUGUUUCUGGAAUAAUUUUUAUAAAUUCAGGACCACUCAGUCUUAGCUUAGAGUCAGAUGGGUGGAUUAUUUGCUUCGAAUUUAGUGAGAAUAGAGUCUAGAAUUUAAUAUGUCAGGGUUUUGAUGUAUUGAGCUGUUCUGCAAAACUGCAAUAUGUGGAGGCUUGUGAUUCAUAUUGUUGACACAAGGCAAUCUAGGGUGAUUGCGCUUUUUACGCAAGCGAAGCUAGUUUUCAAGCACUAGAAAGAUGCCCUGCAUGCUCGUUGGAAUCAGGUGAGGAAGAAGAAUGGGAUAUUGUUAUUAAAUGAAAAAGAAAGUAAUAAAGAAAGGGAACAACUUUGUUAAAAACCUUGUUUCCUGGAAAGCCGGUUCUGCUGCCAUGAGCAAAUCGAUUGCUUUGCUUGUCGAAGGUGACAGGAUUUGAAUUCUAGAAAUGAAUCUGAUAGGGUUUUAAUGAAUUGAACUGUUCUGCAAAACGCCAGUAAGCGGACGCUUGAGAUUCAUAUUGUUGACACAAGGCAAUCUAGGGUGACCAACAGCUGUGGACACCCCGCAGCAGAAGUACCCACAGGAGCACAUGCAUCAUCCGACAAAUCAGCCGAAGACG